rnacentral:tRNA from 1 species
GGAUGGCUCAGUGGUUAAGAGCGCUGGCUGCUCUUCCAGACAUCCUGGGUUUAAUUCCCAGCAACCA